rfam:Felis catus isolate Cinnamon breed Abyssinian chromosome B2, whole genome shotgun sequence.
GCCUGGGUGGCUCAGUCGGUUAAGCGUCUGACUUCGGCUCAGGACAUGAUCUCGCGGUCUGUGAGUUCGAGCCCUGCAUCAGGCU